CUUUCGCUCGCGCGGGUGAAAAGGCCGCAAACGAUUGGCUCUGAGAGAGGAGGGCUGGUUCUUUGUGGUGGGGAGAGCUCUUCGUCCUCCUCUUCCCCUCUCUCUUUCUCUUUCUCUUUCCUUCCUCCUCUUUUCCCUCUCCCCCUCUCUCUCCUUUCUCUCCACCUACUCUUGUCUGAUCGUGGCUUGGGAGGAGCUCCGACCACUGAGAUCCGGUGAUUGAUGGCGGAAGCCCGCCCAUGGACUACGACGGCGCUGGGAUCCAGACGCGCCGCGCCAGGGCCACUGCCGCGGCCGUGACAGAGGCGUCGUCGUCCUUGCUUGCCCCUCCCCUUGAUGAAGAGACAUUGUGGCAGAUGAACAUGAGAGGAGGCGAAUCCAUAGAAUCUGGAUCCUAUCCGCAGCGCCCAGGAGAGCCAGACUGUGCUUAUUACCUCAGGACUGGUCUCUGUAGAUAUGGGUUGACUUGCAGAUACAAUCAUCCUCCCAAUCGAAAGCUGGCUAUUGCUGCUGCAAGACUUAAGGGUGGAUAUCCUGAAAGAGUAGGUCAACCUGAGUGUCAGUAUUAUCUUAAGACUGGAACAUGCAAAUUUGGAGCUACAUGCAAAUUUCAUCACCCCAAAGAUAAGGCCGGAAUUCUUGGGAGAGCUGAACUAAAUAUUUUAGGAUAUCCAAUUCGUCCGAAUGAGGAGGAGUGUGCAUAUUAUUUAAGAACUGGACAAUGUAAAUUUGGGAACACUUGUAAAUUUCAUCAUCCACAGCCUUCUAAUGUGAUGGUUUCAUUAAGUGGUUCUCCUUUUAAUCCUCCUGUACAUUCACCCACGUCCCCUAGUCAAUCUUAUGCUGGUGGUUUGACCAGCUGGCCGUCCUCAAGAGCCUCUUUCAUUCCAAGCCCUCAAUGGCAGGGUCCUUCAAGCUAUGCUCAAGUGAUUCUUCCUCAAGGGUUGGUUCAAGUUCCCAGCUGGAAUGCAUAUCCUGGACAAUUGAGGUCUGUUUCAUCUUCUGAAAGCCAGCAACAAGCACCAGGGCCUGUUCAAAUAUACGGAUCUUCUCGCCCAAGUGAAACAAGUGCAGGAGCUCAAGGGAUAGUCUCAUCAUAUCAAUCCAGUUCUAUUCCUAUGGGCCAGUAUGCAUUGCAGAUGGAUAAUGUGUUUCCUGAGAGGCCUGAUCAACCUGAAUGUCAAUUUUACAUGAAGACUGGAGACUGUAAGUUUGGUGCAUCCUGCAAGUUCCAUCAUCCUAAAGAGAGAUUGAUCCCUGCUCCUAACUGUUUGCUGAGUCCUUCUGGCCUUCCGCUACGCCCAGUAAGUUCUACUGUCAGGGAGAACCUUUAUGCAUUUUUUAUUCUCGUUAUGGGAUCUGCAAAUUUGGUCCAAAUUGCAAAUUUGACCAUCCUUCGGUAACUCCCAUGGGAAUCUUUGCAUAGUCUUUCAACAUCUGCAUCAGCUGACAUCCCCCUUGUUCGGCAUUCACUUAUAUUGUCAUCAGAAGGUCCUGUUGAAGCUGGGACUGGAAAAUCCAGAUGACUUCCAAUGUCAGAGUCUCGGCAAAUGUCUUCUGGUGAUGAACAUUUUGAGACAGAGGGAUCACACACCACUUCAAGCAUUGGGCAAGUUUCUUCUUUUUCCUAACCGCAUCAGGAUCAUGGAAAUCCACAGAUUUGACUGGUGAAAAGAAUAUCCUGUUGCACCCGAAUCACUCGCAUUGUUGUAUUUCACAAGGUAUUAAUAUGUAAAUUGCUGUUCUCUGAAUAAAUUUUAUCUGACCAAAGGUUGCUUCAUUGUGAUUCUCAUCAAAGUUUGUUGCAGGUCUGCUAAUUAGCAAGUAAUUAAGUUUUGUAUGAUUCUGACAUUCACAAGUUUGGACUUGAUUCAGUGUAAUUUAUCAAAAGGUCAUUUAGGUUCAAGUUAGAUGUUGUAUAUAACCAUAACCAUCCAGCCUCAUCUCGGCUAUUUGGGUCAACGGAUGUUGAAUAUAAAACAAGUUUUUUUGGUUAAUACACAAUAAGUUUAAAUUAGCUUUUUAGAAGCUGCUGCAAAAGCAGUUACUUUGCCAAUGAGUAGAUGGCGUGUAUAUUUCUUCAUUGAUUAGCUGAUUUGAUCCUAUAGUUAUAAAUGUUGACCAGCAAUCAAACCUUAUUGAGGUCACCUAUGUACUGGAACUAGGAGAUGAAGGG